CAGGAGCCCACGCCUGCAAGCAAGCAAACCUGCUGUUGUUGGCCAGAUGUGUUUCUGAAUUCAAAUACUUUGGAUUUAGAAAAGUAAUAGAGUGCACCUCCGAAUCAAACAUUGAAAUACAUCGGCUGCCAAACAUACCAGCUGAAAGACUGAAAAGAUCUGGAAGCUACAGCAUAUAAAGGAUACUUGAAGAAACCAAGUACGUUACGGAAUAGAAAAUCAUGGAGACUAUCAGAUGGAAAAAAUUGAGAAACAGAGAAGCUGACUUCUGCAAGUCCAUGAUUUAGUGGCUACUGCAAGAUUUGAGCUCAGGUCUCCCGACAGUCUGCCAUUCUCUGAACAAAAGUUGAUGA